UGAGGAAUAUUAUAAUCAGAUCGCCAUCAUCGUUUUCUCGCGGGUGACAUCAUCAUGGCUUGCUCGUUUUCUCGCGGGUCUCUGCUUCCUCUCGCCAUCAUCGUUUCCUUAGUAUUUCACUGAUCCUAGACCAUUGGAACCAGAAAGAUUGAAGGCGUUUCGCAACCAGUGGGCAAAGUACUAUUUGAAAGUGAAAAAUGAAACUUAGGAUGUUUAGACAAUCUUGUAAUUGUAGUUUAUAUUUACUUACUUAAUUUACAAUUCAUGUCUCAACAUUAAAUAUGUUUUAAAUUCAUAGUAAUUAGUAAAUUUCUUAUUGAAUUUUCUGGUAAAAA